CUAUUACUUCCGAGAUCUUCUCAAGAGAGGCGCAAUAGGUCUUGUCCAUCAACCAUACAAUAAUGUUCUGUCUGAUGCAUUGCUUGAAUUUGAGCAAGACGCUUAGCAUGGGAAUGUGACGAAGAGAACAAAGAAAUCUGAACAAAAUGGUGUUCAGAACAUAAAAUUGUGAGAAUCUGUUCUCUAAGAGGACCUCUUGGGAGAUUUUUGUACAAAUGUUCCAACAGUGAAGAAGCAACACAUGCAAAACUGAAUGGUUGCAAAAUGGAUGAGAUAUUUUCUGACAAGAGUUCCAAAUUUAGUGGUGAUGCAUCUUUGACAGAAUGUAAAAAGGAGAAAACAACUUACAAGAUCAAAAGUGAUGAGGAACAUGACAGUGCAUCUGGAAAAGGUGACUAUUCAGUGGAUGUGGAGGAUCCACAAUACAAAAACAAACCUGAAGAUGAUAUUGAAAAUGGAUUGAGCCACUAAAUAAUAACAGCUCUGCCAGUAAUAGUAAUUCUGAGAGCAAGGAGAACAAUGACAACAAAAUAAAAGUAGAUAACAAUGAAGCAUGUCAAGAUAAUUUGGAUGAAGGUUCUGUUGGGAUGCAGUCUUCAAGUGUUUGGCCAACUAGACCAAUUCGUAGGCGUCAUUCAGUACGGCAGCAACGACGACAGGAAGCGAAGCAGAGGAUAGCUCUUCCUGCUUCAAUUCUGGCACAGUGGCAGCGAAUAGGAGCCGAAUGGGGACUUCACAGCAAUAAUGAGAUUGCACAUUUUCUAAUGCAACGUUACGAGGAUAGUGUCGCAGGGAGACCACUUCGCCCUUCGCCUCCCCGUCGCUGUGCAGGAUGUGGAGGGCCACUUAUACUACUGCCCUGUGAUAGCUGUGGAUCACAUCAGCACUCAAACAGAGUGGCAAGAGACCACAGAGAUCAGGAUGGAGAGAUGUUCUGUGGGCGAUGCAGAGACUAGGUCAUGAAUUUGCACGAAGGGCCAGCUCUGUUAAUGUUAAUGGUAUGUUAAUAAAUAUGAAUGAGAUACCAUUGGUGGAACUGAAUAACAUUAAUGAGAUUUGACACAUGGUUGAAAUAAUAUUCUUGACUUUCAGAAAA